rnacentral:rRNA from 1 species
AUUGAACGCUGGCGGCAGGCCUAACACAUGCAAGUCGAACGAGUGGCGGACGGGUGAGUAAUGUCGGGGAAACUGCCUGAUGGCGGGGAAUAACUACGGGAAACGGUAGCUAAUACCGCAUACCAUCAGAUGUGCCCAGAUGGAAUUAGCUAGUUGUUGGGGUAACGGCUCACCAAGGCGACGCUCCCUAGCUGGUCUGAGAGGAUGACCAGCAACACUGGAACUGAGACACGGUCCAGACUCCUCCGUGAGGCAGCAGUGGGGAAUAUUGCACAAUGGGCGCAAGCCUGAUGCAGCCAUGCCGCGUGUAUGAAGAAGGCCUUCGGGUUGUAAAGUACUUUCAUCGGGGAGGCGUUAUCCGCAGAAGAAGCACCGGCUAACUCCGUGCCAGCAGCCGCGGUAAUUC